UGUACAAUUGCAACAUGGCGGAUUGAGCGCUGGAGGAUUACGCAUGGAUGGGAUUACGUCGCACCUGGUGUUGAUAAUUAAGUGCUCAGUUAAGGUGCUGUGGUCAGAAUAAUGUAUGGUACAACCUUUCUCACAAGGACCAGCCCCUCAUGUUGACCACAGGAGGCCCAACCUGAAGGUGGCAGGGCAGCUGGCCUACAACGUCCACAUGACAAGGACAGUAAUCACAGAGGAGACUUUUGAUGUGGCUGUGCAGUUUGGCACAUCGCAGGAUGACCUCACCCAGGAUGACCUGCUUGCUUGGCUCCUUGGUUGCUCCCUGCCAUAUACUGGAAAAGAGCAUCAAGGACAACUACACCUCCGACAUGUGGUAAUGCCUUGCCAGCCUCACAGCCAGGAGCAGCUUGCCUGUUAAGACGAGGAGGGUCAGCAGAGGGUGUUGCCAUGCUUUGGUGUGUGCGCCAAGGGUCUGAGGUUACCCGCUGCCUGCUGGAUGUACAGAGCAACUUCCACUGCUGCCUACAGAUUCUGCACUUUUUGCCACAAGCAUCCUGGACGUCAAAACACCACCUGGCACAAUGAUUACAACAGGUGAUUCAUAUUCACUUUGAUGGACACUGCGAUCUCAAGGCAUUCCAGAUGUUCCAUGUUUGAGAUGAGUUGGUGAGAAGGCCUGGACAGAACGAGACUUUAAAACACCGGUGCAGAGGAUCCUAAUGAAAGAGCUAAGUGCUGAACCAGAUUGUGAUGCUGGGCUGUUCACUGCUCAUGGCUCCCUUGGCGCAGCACUGCAGCGAGUGGCAAACUAAUAUGUUUUUCUGCUGCUGACACCUGCCUCAAAGAAAUGUACCAACGAAAAAACCCAUCAGGAUCAGGACCAUUGCGAGAAGCUGAAUGGGUGGUGGCUAAUCUUGAUCGGCAGCUCAAGUUCGACUUCAAAAAGAAGAUGCAGAUCACAGAACUGGCCUGCCACUGCUCAGUGGGAUCAUCCUGGACUUGUUCCCUGCUGUGGAAACACUAAAUAUACAUUAUAGCAAGAUCCCCAAUGAGACAAUGGAAGUAUCGGCUGAACUCCAUGACAAUGAGUCUUGCAAAGUUGUAUGCAGGAAGUGCUUUCUUCUCUCACGAGGAUCAGCACUCACAGGUGUUCCAGAGAGAAGUCACCACACAGUAUGGCAAGCAGGAAUUCAGUGCAGGUUAAUGAUGAAAUGAAAGAAUGUACAGACAGUGACACAUUGGAGGAGGUAGAGGCCAUGAAGCGGAAGUUUCGUCCGUGAAACCAUGUGGCUGUCAGAAGAUGGCAACUGACCAACAGCAGAGGGUACAGGAGGUGGAGAUAAUCCCAUACAGUUUCACUGUCCAACCUUAAAGUAGUCAGGGAUUGGAACAACCAAGAUCUACAGACAGACACAUUUACCACGGAGUCAAAGGUCUGCAGAUAAAUACGGCUGGAUGGCUUUCGAUUGUAUCAAACAGAAAGAGUGAGGAGGAUUUUGCUGCUGCCAAGAUUUCUCCUCCCCUCAGCUUGGAGUGGAGUCCCGUGUUUAUCAAGCUCACUUCAUGAUGUGGGGCCAUGAUUCAUGAGAAGUUAACACAAACUUGGUGUUUGAGGAUUACACCUGCAGGACUCCUCUGAUCUUUGCUCCUUCUCGAGGGGACCACACUGCGGGCCCCUAGGAUUGGGAUGCACUUAGACACUUCCUUCUACUUGGACCUCCAUCACCAAGAACGUCAAAAACAGUACAAAACCAAUCACUCUAUCCACUGUUAUUCCUCAUUUGUUCUUCAUCUUUGCAGUCCUGUUUUUUCUUCCUCCCACAAGUGUUUCUUUUGCACUCAAGUGCCAUUUGUUGUUGGCAAAGUGCAGAAAAGAAUAUUUGAUUGAUUUGGUUUAUUCAGAUGAAUCUUUCACUCCCUGUAUCGACCCUCUGUUUACCAGCUCGUUCGCACUCAUCACUGUGAUUUGCAGCUGUUUCUUAUACCAGUGGAGACCUCACUGUCAUUUUUUAUGGUUUGUUGCCUCUCAGACACGCCUCUCUGUAACUAGGGAAAUGUCACUGUUAUACAUCAAGUAAUUUGUUUGUCUGGGGAAGUCGAUUUUUAUUGUCACUUCUUUGAUUCAUUUUCAACCUUCCAUGUACCUCCUCUGUGCCUUCCAUGCACAACAGUAACAAUGCUUUGGGCUGGUAGCAAUAGCACAUAAUCAACUGUACAAUCAUCAGAUCGGCCUUUUCACAUACAAUGCUGUAUUUUAUUUAAUACUGUCGUAAAUCUAAAUAAAUAAUAAUCCUACUUAAACCUAUAGCACACAAUACAUGUACCUAUUUUUUUUACCUUCUGCAAUUACCUUGUUUGAUAGAGCAUUGCUAGAUUUAUAAAACACUUCCUGCUGGCGAACACUUCCUAGACCCCUACAUUGCAUUAUACACCUGAUUGAUUCAUUGGGGCUCUUAUUAAUCUUAGAUAAAGUCAAAGCUAGAACAAUCUUACGAUAAAUUCCCACCUGUCAAAACAAAGUCAAUUAAAGCACAUAUGAAUGUAGGAAUAUAUACUCUGAAACAUGUACAUUUAUGGGUGACAUUAACAGAAUGCCAAACAUACACUUGUUUUCUCGUUGGGCUAACACUGCCCCCUACUGUCCUCAGAGUGUUAAAGACAAGAUGAAUGAACGUGACCUUUUUUCCAUGCCUUCUUUUCACAGGACCUGCUUCUACAGAUGUGCUGGACAACUGUCUGCAGCUUUAACAACUCUGACCUUAAAGUCUGGACUGCAUUUGAUAGUAAGGUUAGAGACCUGGACAGUGACAGAUCAGGUGGCGCCAGAGAUACUGUGAAGACGGCCAUGAUGCGGUUGUGCUCGUUGUGGUCACUUGAGUGGAAUUACUGCAGGAAUGAUGUAACUGUGUGUGAUCUUCACUAAACCAAAGAUAUACACACAAGACAAGCAGAAAGACCAUUUUUAUGCCAUGUUAGAUUAAAUUAGCCAAUUAGACUGAUGGAUAAUGACAACCUGGUAAGUGCAUGAGACUGAACAGUACUUAUGGCCUUUGUUAAGAUGUCUGUCUUCAUCUCGUCCUGCUACGGAGGAACCGUUUCACUUGCACUUCUAUUAAAAUAACCUUCUUCGUGAUUUCCAAUAGGUGAGUGAGAAUCUGCUGAGCUGGGUCUGGGAUGAGUGUGAGGAGGUUUCCUGGGAUGCAUUCAAGUUCAUCAUUGCUGCGGUCCACUACAGGGAGAUGUCUUCUAUUCGUAAAUGCAUUCAUGACUGCUUUACCACCACUGCUUCUCAAGUGAGACACUAAAAAAAAAACACUCACUGAGACAUAUAGCUUUAUCAUAUUUACAGUCAAGGCAUGAUGUAAUUUCUAUCUUUAUUGAAUACUUUAGACAGUCCCACAUUAGAUCAACUCAAUCUAUGCUGCAGUACAAACCCCACUAGAAAUAUGACAUAUUUAAAAUGCACACCACAUGAAUUUGACUCAAUGUACAUGUUUUUUGUGUUAAAAUGCACAUUUCCCACUGUUUUCUGAGAAAGCGCACUGCGGCUGCACUCAGCUGACAGAGGCCACCCCGACUCCCAGCUGAAGCCCCUCGAGGUUGCAGAGUGCUAGCACCACCACGUGGACAGUCAGAUUACAUUAGCCCGGGAAAUACAGACACAGUGGCACCCUGAUGAACACUGACAGAAACACUAAGUCCUUGCUUUUUUUGAAUCAUUGAAUCACUUACACAAAUCCACACAGGCUCUCAUGUUCACUAACCUAGUUUUUAACCAGCCCCUCUGAAAAGAUUUGAGGCUGAUGGUGGAGCACAUGAAAGGCUUUUUCUUUAUUUACAAAAGAUAAGAUGACUUGGAUGUUCAGAAUCUUGUUGUUGGACAGCAUUGUUGCAUUGCACAUGCAAAAAAUGUGCAUCUGCCAAUGAUUCUUCUGUUCGUGGGUUAUGAGUUAUACUCUGUGACAGGUUAGUAUAGCUUUUUUCAGAUCAAGUUAAAACUGUAUAGACACUGUAUAUUCAAAUAUUGAGGUUCAGGCAAUCAGUCGCCAGGUGUGUGUUGUCAAACUGAAGUACGAUAAAAUACUUAACGGAAGGCUUAAGUAAAUAAAAUGACAUGGAUGAUUCUAACUACAUGUGGAAUGAAGUUGAAUAUGUGAGUUUGCAUUGUCAGCUGUUACACAUGUUGCAACGACCAAAUGUCCCAACUCUGCUUUAACCCUAUUUCCUCAUUCCAAGAGCAUGAAUGAAACACUGUACGAUUCUAGGAAACCCAGAUAAGAUGAGUGUGUUAAUCAAAUUUUCACUUUGAGUGUUGGAUUGAGAUGGCCUCAGUUUGCCAUUGUAAACUGUUUACUUGUGUUGGUUGGUCCCUGAUAGAGCUGGAGAAAGAGGAUUAGUGUUGAUGUCGUCCAGUUUGUGAGCGUCUCUCAUGUCUGUGCACCACACAGCUCUGCAUGUUAUGCUUAAUUUUCUAAAUCAAUUAAGUUUCAAGUCACACAUUAGAGCCCAGUUUUCUGGGGCUGAUAUUAUGGAUCUAAAAAAAAAAAUCAAUUUAAAAAAGGAAACACAAAUAAAUACAUGAAGGUUUGUUUUACGUAAGCAAGUAAUGACACUUUUUCCUGUAGCCUGAGCAUUUUAAUCUGUAAAAUAAAAGUUUUCAUAUCAGUGCGCAUUAUCAAAUGCAGAUACUGAUAUUGAUCAACUGAUACAUUUCUAUUACAAAAGUGUAUUAUUUUCCCAAGUCACGCAACAUGUAAGCUUAAAGCUCUCACAUCUCACUCUGAUGCUCUUCUGUACCUACUUUUGUCUCACUUCAUAAAGUCAGGAGACACACUAAAAUACAAUAGGGCUUCUUGGAUCAAUAACACUGAGACAGGUGCUGUUUGAAGAAUGAGUAGUCUUGGGUAAAACCAGACUGAGGAAUAUGCUG